GACGAACGCUGGCGGCGUGCUUAACACAUGCAAGUCGAGCGGAAAGGCCACUUCGGUGGUACUCGAGCGGCGAACGGGUGAGUAACACGUGAGUAAUCUGCCCUUCACUCUGGGAUAGCCACCGGAAACGGUGAUUAAUACCGGAUACGACCACUCCACGCAUGUGGUGGUGGUGGAAACUUUUUGGGUGGGGGAUGUGCUCGCGGCCUAUCAGCUUGUUGGUGGGGUAAUGGCCUACCAAGGCUUCGACGGGUAGCCGGCCUGAGAGGGUGACCGGCCACACUGGGACUGAGACACGGCCCAGACUCCUACGGGAGGCAGCAGUGGGGAAUAUUGGACAAUGGGCGGAAGCCUGAUCCAGCAACGCCGCGUGAGGGAUGACGGCCUUCGGGUUGUAAACCUCUUUCAGCACCGACGAAGCGCAAGUGACGGUGGGUGCAGAAGAAGGACCGGCCAACUACGUGCCAGCAGCCGCCGUAA
rnacentral:rRNA from 1 species